AAGAUCAUACUUUUAGGGAUCAUUUCUACAGUAUGUAUCGCCAGGACGUCAAACCAAAAUUGACCCUGGACCAAACCCGCGAGGACGAGUUCUAGCCUGCCUUUUCUGAGCGCGAAUAAGCGGGUUGCAAGCUGGCAGCGAAGUCUGCCUCGGCUGCGACUAUUGAUGACCGCUUUUCACCCUCUCGCGGUGGAAAGGGCAAGGCAGGCAAGCUGAGCGGG
rnacentral:snoRNA from 1 species